rnacentral:rRNA from 1 species
AGCGAACGCUGGCGGCGUGCCUAACACAUGCAAGUCGAGCGAGAAAGGGGUGGCAACACCCUGAGUAAAGCGGCGAACGGGUGAGUAACGCGUGGGCAAUCUACCUUCCAGUCUGGGAUAACCUUCCGAAAGGAGGGCUAAUACCGGAUGAUGUCCUGUUGGGGCAUCCUGAGGGGAGCAAAGGGGGCGACCCGCAAGGGGCUCUCGCUGGAGGAGGAGCCUGCGUCCGAUUAGCUAGUUGGUGGGGUAACGGCUCACCAAGGCGACGAUCGGUAGCCGGCCUGAGAGGGUGACCGGCCACACUGGGACUGAGACACGGCCCAGACUCCUACGGAGGCAGCAGUGGGGAAUCUUGCGCAAUGGGCGAAAGCCUGACGCAGCGACGCCGCGUGGGGGACGAAGGCCUC